rnacentral:rRNA from 1 species
UGGCUCACCAAGGCGACGACGGGUAGCGGGACUGAGAGGUUGGCCCGCAACAUCGGGACUGAGACACUGCCCGGACCUCCACGGAGGGCUGCAGUAACGAAUAUUGCGCAAUGGGCGAAAGCCUGACGCAGCGACGCCGCGUGUAGGAGGAAGUCCUUCGGGAUGUAAACUACUGUCAGGGGGAAGAAAGUGUACUUCGGUGCAUUGAUCUAACCCAGAGGAAGUCACGGCUAACUUCGUGCCAGCAGCCGCGGUAAGACGAAGGUGGCAAGCGUUGUUCGGUAUUACUGGGCUUAAAGCGUGUGUAGGCGGAAUCAUAAGCGUCUUGUGAAAUCCCCCGGCUUAACCGGGGAAUUGCUCGACGAACUGUAAUUCUUGAGGCAAGUAGGGGUGCAUGGAACUCUUGGUGGAGCGGUGGAAUGCGUAGAUAUCAAGAGGAACGCCAGUGGUGAAGACGGUGCACUGGGCUUGUCCUGACGCUGAGACACGAAAGCGUGGGGAGCGAACGGGAUUAGAUACCCCGGUAGUCCACGCUGUAAACGAUGCCUACUAGGUCGUGGUGGUUCUGACACCAGCACGGCCGAAGCAAAAGUGUUAAGUAGGCCGCCUGGGGAGUACGGUCGCAAGGCUAAAACUCAAAGGAAUUGACGGGGGCUCACACAAGCGGUGGAGCAUGUGGAUUAAUUCGAUUCCAACGCGCAGAACCUUACCUGGGUUUGACAUGCUUGGAUGCUUGCUUGGAAACAGGUUAAGCUGCCCUUCGGGGUGAAACUUGCACAGGUGCUGCAUGGCUGUCGUCAGCUCGUGUCGUGAGAUGUCGGGUUAAGUCCUUUAACGAGCGAAACCCUUGCCGUUAGUUGCCAGCGAGUCAUGCCGGGGACUCUAGCGGGACUGCCGGUGUUAAACCGGAGGAAGGUGGGGAUGACGUCAAGUCAUCAUGGCCUUUAUGCCCAGGGCCUCACACGUGCUACAAUGGCGGAUACAGAGCGAAGCAAGACCGCGAGGUGGAGCAAAUCGCAAAAAGUCCGCCCCAGUUCGGAUUGCAGGCUGUCAACUCGCCUGCAUGAAGGUGGAAUCGCUAGUAAUCGCGUAUCAGCUAUGACGCGGUGAAUGUGUUCCUGAGCCUUGUACACACCGCCCGUCAAGUGAUGGGAGUUGGGAGUACCCGAAGUCGGGUUGCCAACCUUUCGAGGGGGCGCCUGCCGACGGUAAGCCCGAUGACUGGCACUAAGUCGUAACAAGGUA